CCUACGGGUGGCAGCAGUGGGGAAUAUUGCACAAUGGGGGAAACCCUGAUGCAGCGACGCCGCGUGCGCGAUGAAGUAUUUCGGUAUGUAAAGCUCUAUCAGCAGGGAAGAAAAUGACGGUACCUGACUAAGAAGCCCCGGCUAACUACUUGCCAGCAGCCGAGGUAAUACGUAGGGGGCAAGCGUUCUCCGGUUUUACUGGGUGGAAAGGGAGCGUAGACGGCUGUGCAAGCCAGGUGUGAAAGCCCGGGGCUCAACCCCGGGACUGCAUUUGGAACUGGGUGGCUGGAGUGUCGGAGAGGCAGGCGGAAUUCCUAGUGUAGCGGUGAAAUGCGUAGAUAUUAGGAGGAACACCAGUGGCGAAGGCGGCCUGCUGGACGAUUACUGACGUUGAGGCUCGAAAGCGUGGGGAGCAAACAGGAUUAGAUACCCUAGUAGUC
rnacentral:rRNA from 1 species